rnacentral:rRNA from 1 species
GAAUCUGCCCUCAGGAGGGGGAUAACGGUUGGAAACGACCGCUAAUACCCCAUAUGCCUAUUGGUGAAAUGAAUUUCGCCUGAGGAUGAGCUCGCGUCUGAUUAGCUAGUUGGUGUGGUAAUGGCUCACCAAGGCUUCGAUCAGUAGCUGGUCUGAGAGGAUGAUCAGCCACACUGGGACUGAGACACGGCCCAGACUCCUACGGGAGGCAGCAGUGGGGAAUUUUCCGCAAUGGGCGAAAGCCUGACGGAGCAACGCCGCGUGAGGGACGAAGGCCUCUGGGCUGUAAACCUCUUUUCUCAAGGAAGAAGAUAUGACGGUACUUGAGGAAUAAGCCACGGCUAAUUCCGUGCCAGCAGCCGCGGUAAUACGGGAGUGGCAAGCGUUAUCCGGAAUUAUUGGGCGUAAAGCGUCCGCAGGCGGCUUUUCAAGUCUGCUGUUAAAACGUGGAGCUUAACUCCAUCAUGGCAGUGGAAACUGAAAGGCUUGAGUAUGGUAGGGGCAGAGGGAAUUCCCGGCGUAGCGGUGAAAUGCGUAGAUAUCGGGAAGAACACCAGUGGCGAAGGCGCUCUGCUGGGCCAUUACUGACGCUCAUGGACGAAAGCCAGGGGAGCGAAAGGGAUUAGAUACCCCUGUAGUCCUGGCCGUAAACGAUGAACACUAGGUGUCGGGGGAAUCGACCCCUUCGGCGUCGUAGCUAACGCGUUAAGUGUUCCGCCUGGGGAGUACGCACGCAAGUGUGAAACUCAAAGGAAUUGACGGGGGCCCGCACAAGCGGUGGAGUAUGUGGUUUAAUUCGAUGCAACGCGAAGAACCUUACCAGGGUUUGACAUCCUGCGAACCUCUUAGAAAUUUGAGGGUGCCUUCGGGAAUGCAGUGACAGGUGGUGCAUGGCUGUCGUCAGCUCGUGUCGUGAGAUGUUGGGUUAAGUCCCGCAACGAGCGCAACCCACGUUUUUAGUUGCCAGCAUUUAGUUGGGCACUCUAGAAAGACCGCCGGUGAUAAACCGGAGGAAGGUGUGGAUGACGUCAAGUCAUCAUGCCCCUUACACCCUGGGCUACACACGUACUACAAUGCUACGGACAAAGGGCAGCAAACUCGCGAGAGCUAGCAAAUCCCAUAAACCGUGGCUCAGUUCAGAUCGUAG